AUCUCCUCCGUCAGUGGGACCUAGGCUAGGGGUUCUUAGCAUAGGAGGUCUUCCCAUGCUAAGAAGUCCUCCCAUGCCAAGAACUCCCAGACUAGGAGUCCUCCCAUGCUAAGUCCU
rnacentral:precursor_RNA from 1 species